rnacentral:rRNA from 1 species
CAAGACUCCUACGGGAGGCAGCAGUGGGGAAUAUUGCACAAUGGGGGAAACCCUGAUGCAGCGACGCCGCGUGAGUGAAGAAGUAUUUCGGUAUGUAAAGCUCUAUCAGCAGGGAAGAUAAUGACGGUACCUGACUAAGAAGCCCCGGCUAACUACGUGCCAGCAGCCGCGGUAAUACGUAGGGGGCAAGCGUUAUCCGGAUUUACUGGGUGUAAAGGGUGCGUAGGUGGCAGGGCAAGUCAGAUGUGAAAGCCCGGGGCUCAACCCCGGUACUGCAUUUGAAACUGUCCAGCUGGAGUGCAGGAGAGGUAAGCGGAAUUCCUAGUGUAGCGGUGAAAUGCGUAGAUAUUAGGAGGAACACCAGUGGCGAAGGCGGCUUACUGGACUGUAACUGACACUGAGGCACGAAAGCGUGGGGAGCAAACAGGAUUAGAUACCCCCGUAAUU